rnacentral:tRNA from 1 species
AGCGGAGUAGCUCAGUUGGUUAGAGCAGCGGAAUCAUAAUCCGUUUGUCGGCGGUUCGAAUCCGCCCUUCGCUA